ACGCGCGGCCUUCCGUAAGUUGGACCAAAAUGGCAGCCUUGGAGGAAGGCUUCACGUUGACUGCGGUACCGCUGGGUUCCGGGCCUGACGGACCACUUGGAGUGGAGCAGAGCGACAAAACAGACCAGUUUCUAGUGACGGACAGCGGCAGGACCGUCAUCCUCUAUAAGGUUUCUGAUCAGAAACCCUUGGGGAGCUGGUCAGUGAAACAAGGUCAAAUUAUAACAUGUCCAGCUGUGUGCAACUUUCAAACUGGAGAGUAUAUUGUUGUACAUGAUAAUAAGGUCUUGAGAAUAUGGAAUAAUGAAGACGUAAACCUGGAUAAAGUAUUUAAAGCGACAUUGUCCGCUGAGGUAUAUAGGAUACAUUCAAUACAGGGGACAGAACCCUUGGUGCUGUUCAAGGAAGGUGCCAUUCGUGGUUUAGAGGCCUUGCUUGCAGAGCCCCAGCAGAAAAUUGAAACUGUUAUCUCUGAUGAAGAAGUGAUUAAGUGGACAAAGUUUUUUAUGGUAUUUAGGCAUCCUGUGCUGAUUUUUAUUACUGAAAAACAUGGAAAUUACUUUGCUUAUGUACAAAAGUUUAACUCACGUAUCCUAAGCAAAUACACACUUUUACUUGGACAAGAAGAAAAAUCGGUUACACAGAGUUUUAGUACAUCUGUGCAUCGGAAAUUCAUCUCUCUGAUGUCAUUAAGCUCUGAUGGAUGUGUAUAUGAAACCUUGAUACCAAUACAUCCAAGUGACCCAGAAAAAAAUCAGAGGGUAGUUCGAUCACUGUUGCUCAAGUCCGUGGUGUCUGGCAAUGCUCGAAGUGGCGUUGCACUCACCAUCCUGGAUCAAGAUCACGUAGCAGUCCUGGGACCACCACUAUCAGCUUCUAAGGAAUGCCUCUCCAUAUGGAAUACAAAAUUUCAAACACUACAGACUUCAAAAGAGUUACCACAAGGGACCAGCGGUCAACUCUGGUAUCAUGGGGAAAAUUUGUUUAUGCUACAUGGAAAAUUUCUAACUGUAAUCCCAUACAAGUGUGAGGUGUCAUCAUUAGCAGGUGCUCUUGGAAAACUCAAGCAUAGUCAAGAUCCAGACAUUCAUGCCAUGACUCAUUUUGUAAACUGGGAAACAUCACAGGGAUAUGAACUUGGAUCUCAGAACUCAGAGCAGUCAAAGAGAAUCUUAAGGAGAAGGAAAAUUGAAGUGAGUGUACAGCCGGAGGUUCCACCAUCCACACAACUCUUAGCAGCCGUACAGAAAGAUUCAGAAAAACAUAUUGAAGUAGAACUACGUAAAUUUUUGGCUGUUCAGCGGACCCCUGACUUUCAUACUAUUAUUGGGGAUGUAGUAAUAGGACUUCUGGGAAGAUAUAAAGCAGAACCAUCAUUUUAUCCUCGGAACUGUCUGAUGCAGCUUAUCCAAACACGUGUGCUUUCUUACAGCUUGUGCCCUGGCUUAAUGGAGUUUGCCUUAGAAAAGACAGAUGUGCAGAUCCUACAGCUCUGCCUACAGCAGUUCCCUGACAUCCCUGAGUCAGUCACCUGCGCUUGCUUAAAAAUUUUCUUGAGCAUUGGUGAUGACAGUCUUCAAGAAACAGAUAUCAAUAUGGAGUCAGUUUCUGACUAUACUGCUACUAUACAAGAUGGGGAAAUAGAAGAACAAACUGAAAUUCUUCAAAAUGGUUUCAAUCCUGAAGAAGAUAACUGUGAGAACUGUGCUCAGGAGUUGAUUGAGAAGCCUCAGGCUGCAACAGAGGAGAGCACUUCAUGCCCUGUUACAGGGAAAAGAGCAGCGCUACUAAAUGCAAUUCUUCAUUCAGCAUAUAGCGAGACGUUUCUUCUGCCUCAUUUGAAGGACAUCCCAGCACAACACAUCACUCUAUUUCUCCAGUAUUUGUAUUUCCUUUAUCUGAAGUGUAGUGAAAAUGCUACUAUGACUCUUCCUGGAAUACACCCUCCAACCCUGAACCAGAUUAUGGAUUGGAUAUGUCUACUUCUAGAUGCUAAUUUUACUGUUGUGGUAAUGAUACCAGAAGCAAAAAGGCUACUGUUAAGUCUUUACAAGUUUGUGAAAUCCCAGAUAAGCAUUUGUUCUGAGCUCAACAAGAUUGAAGUAAGUUUUCGUGAGCUACAGAAAUUAAAUCAAGAAAAGACUAAUAGAGAAUUAUAUUCAAUUGAAGUGCUGGAACUCUUCUGAUAUUACCAGUUCUCCUUCAUAGACGUUUUAUGAAGCUCUUUUAUGUGGAUUCUUCCUACUCAACCAGAUUCAGAUUAAACGUUUCUGACGAGAAUACUACAGAGAAGGCACAGCAUCAGGAGGCAUUGCUGUGAGUUGUCCUAUCAUUGGUGAUGCUAAAUUGGAUCACUUAGUUAAGGUAGGAUUUACCAGAUUGCCUCACUCUAAAGGUACCUUUUUCCCUUUGUACUUCAUAAGUAACCUAUGUAUUUAUUAUUUAUCUUUGAGACUGUGUGAAUAUCCUAUUCUGGAAUGUUAUUCUUCCCUAACAGUGAACCCAUUGGUAAUUUUUGCAUGAAUCGGUUAUCACUUUGGUGACAGUUACGGUUGCAAAUGUAAAAAUUGUUUUGGUAUAAAUCUCUUUUUUAUAAAUUUAUUUAUUUUAUUUAUUUAUUUUUGGCUGUGUUG